AUAGGUAGCCGACCUGAGAGGGUGACCGGCCACAUUGGGACUGAGAUACGGCCCAGACUCCUACGGGAGGCAGCAGCUGAGAAUCUUCCACAAUGGACGAAAGUCUGAUGGAGCGACAUCGCGUGAGGGAUGAAGGCCUUCGGGUUGUAAACCUCGGAAAUUAUCGAAGAAUGAGUGACAGUAGAUAAUGUAAGCCUCGGCUAACUACGUGCC
rnacentral:rRNA from 1 species